rnacentral:rRNA from 1 species
GACGAACGCUGGCGGCGUGCUUAACACAUGCAAGUCGAACGGAAAGGCCCUGCUUUUGUGGGGUGCUCGAGUGGCGAACGGGUGAGUAACACGUGAGUAACCUGCCCUUGACUUUGGGAUAACUUCAGGAAACUGGGGCUAAUACCGGAUAGGAGCUCCUGCUGCAUGGUGGGGGUUGGAAAGUUUCGGCGGUUGGGGAUGGACUCGCGGCUUAUCAGCUUGUUGGUGGGGUAGUGGCUUACCAAGGCUUUGACGGGUAGCCGGCCUGAGAGGGUGACCGGCCACAUUGGGACUGAGAUACGGCCCAGACUCCUACGGGAGGCAGCAGUGGGGAAUAUUGCACAAUGGGCGGAAGCCUGAUGCAGCAACGCCGCGUGCGGGAUGACGGCCUUCGGGUUGUAAACCGCUUUCGCCUGUGACGAAGCGUGAGUGACGGUAAUGGGUAAAGAAGGACCGGCUAACUACGUG